CACAGCGUAGCUUAAAUCACAUAAAGCAUCUGGCCUACACCCAGAAGAUUCCCAACACAACGGACGCUUUGA
rnacentral:tRNA from 1 species